ACUCCUACGGGAGGCAGCAGUGGGGAAUUUUGGACAAUGGGCGAAAGCCUGAUCCAGCAAUGCCGCGUGAGUGAAGAAGGCCUUCGGGUUGUAAAGCUCUUUUGUCAGGGAAGAAACGGUGAAAGCUAAUAUCUUUUGCUAAUGACGGUACCUGAAGAAUAAGCACCGGCUAACUACGUGCCAGCAGCCGCGGUAAUACGUAGGGUGCAAGCGUUAAUCGGAAUUACUGGGCGUAAAGCGUGCGCAGGCGGUUUUGUAAGUCUGAUGUGAAAUCCCCGGGCUCAACCUGGGAAUUGCAUUGGAGACUGCAAGGCUAGAAUCUGGCAGAGGGGGGUAGAAUUCCACGUGUAGCAGUGAAAUGCGUAGAUAUGUGGAGGAACACCGAUGGCGAAGGCAGCCCCCUGGGUCAAGAUUGACGCUCAUGCACGAAAGCGUGGGGAGCAAACAGGAUUAGAAACCCUGGUAGUCCC
rnacentral:rRNA from 1 species